GCUAAUGAUGAUUGUUGGAAAUCAAAUUUGUUUAUUUAAAUUGUAAUUUUAAAAAAUUUUAUUCGAAAGUAUUGAUGUUGGAAAUCGUUCUCAGAAGAAUUUUUCAUGAUCGCUGCGAUUCAAUCAGCAUCAUCCAAUCAGCAUCAUUAGCCAAGUAAUUUUGGGUCCAAUGUGUCUUCUAGAGAAAGGUGGUUUUGACUCAAGCCUAAUAUUUGCGAAGUUAUUUGUAUUUCGAUACGAAGAGUGCACUUUGAAUCGUAGUACAAUCAAUCGUCUAUGCGUGGCGGAGCUAAGAGUGGACUCGUAAGAGUGAAAAACUUAAAACAUACCUUAUACGAAUAAAUAAUAGGGAAGAGUGCACUUUAAAUCGUCUAUGCCAAGAGUGGUUUCGUAAUGAAAGUGAAAAACUAUCAAAUACGAAUAAAUAAUAGUCCAUAGGUCUUGUUACAAAAUAUGGACUUGGAAACUUAAAUUAAAUCUUAGAAAAUCACGUACUAAGAAUUAGUGCUGUUCAUAGUAUUCGGAUAUUUUAAAACCCGAAAUUAUUCGAUUAAUCCGAUAUCAACGAAGUCUUCGGAGUUGAAAAAAAAAAAAUGGGAAUUUUUUUAAAUCCGUAGUGUUCGAAUAUCCAGAUUUAAAUUAUUCGGAGAAGUCAUGAGCAAAAGUUAAUCGGAGAGCAUAAUAAUAAAGAUAAUAGAAUUUGUGGUUGUUUGUACGAUUUUAUGUGUUUGG